rnacentral:rRNA from 1 species
AUGGCACGACCUGGCUGCCCAAAAAAGUGUGGCAAUGUCAGCAUUCUGUACCCAUUCGGCACAGGAAAAGGCUGCUUCCAAGAACCCUUUAGUGCCACAUGCAAUGAGACCGGGGCAUAUCUGGCCUCAACCGAAGUUAGGGUACCGGAGAUCAGUCUUACUCUUGGUGAGGUUCGUGUUCAGAACCCACACAUAUCAUCGCGAUGCAACUAUACCAACGGCACCAAUAGCACUGGUUUCGACGCCUUAAUGCUUGAUCCUUUUCAUAAACUUUCCAACACCAAGAACAAGUUGACAUCAAUUGGGUGUGCUAUGCUUGCAAUGGUUGUCGGACUCACUAAGAGCAAGAAGCAGAUUGAGUACCCCACCGCCGGCACAUGCUUUUCAUUCUGCAUUGAUGCAAGUAGUAUCGAAGAUGGUUCAGAGUGCUCUGGCUUGGGUUGCUGCCAGGCCCCUGUGUCAGGAAAUGUCAGCUCAUUAGUCACCUUAUCCUUACCAGUACCAGAGUUUUACAACUCUACCAUCCAGUCUUUCAGUUCCUGCAGCUACUCAUUCGUUUCUGAGAAGGACUGGUUCAAGUUUGAUCGUUCCUAUGUUAACUCUACAAGGUUCGCAAGUACACAUACAGAUGGGGUUCCUUUGGUACUCGAUUGGGUUGUUGGUAAUGCAAGCUGUUCAGAAGCCACCAAGAUGGGAUCACAGUAUGCCUGUCAAGCCAUGAAUAGUGAAUGUAUUGAUGUGUCCAAUGGCCCUGGUUACCGCUGCAACUGCUCUCAAGGCCUAUGAGGGCAAUCCCUACCUACAAGGAGGGUGCCAAGACAUCAAUGAGUGUGUACCUCCAAACCAGUCAUUGUAUCCUUGCAAAGGUAAUUGCAUGAACACCGUGGGGAGCUACAACUGUUUGUGCCCAUCAGGAUUCAGAAGUGAUGAUCCAAAGAGCAUACCCUGCGUUCGAGCUGACCCAAACAAAACCCUGAAGAUAAUCUUAGGCAUAUCUGCUAGCAUCAUCUUCCUCAUGGUUUGCAUGUUUGCUCUACGGGCUGAAUAUCAGAAAACGAAGCUGGCAAAAGAGAAGGAAAGAUUCUUCGAUCAGAAUGAUGGUCAGAUACUGUACCAUCAAAUUAUGUCAAAACAAGUCGAUACAUUGAAGAUAUUCACGCAGGAUGAUCUGAAGAAGGCUACAAACGAUUUUGACAAGAGCAGAGAAGUGGGCAAGGGGGGUCACGGCACUGUCUACAAGGGCAUUCUUAAGGAUAACAAGGAAGUAGCCGUGAAACGCUCAAAGAUCAUGAACGUGGCCGAAACUGACGAGUUUGUGCAGGAGAUUAUUAUACUUUCACAAACCAACCACCGAAAUGUGGUCAGGCUUUUAGGGUGCUGCUUAGAGGUGGAAGUUCCGAUGCUGGUCUAUGAAUUCAUCCCGAAUGGCACUCUCUUUCAUUUUAUCCAUCGUAACUACGGAAGUCGACCUCCCUCACUGGACACCCGUCUUAGGGUCGCUCAAGAAUCUGCUGAAGCACUGGCGUAUCUGCAUCUGUCCACGAACCGCCCUAUAGUACACGGAGAUGUUAAGUCUAUGAACAUUCUCUUGGACGAGAACUACAUGGCGAAAGUGACCGACUUUGGGGCGUCAAGGAUGCUCCCCAAGGAUGAGGUUCAGUUCAUGACAUUGGUGCAGGGCACCAUGGGUUACCUGGACCCUGAGUACCUGCAGGAGCGGAAGCUAACAGAGAAGAGCGACGUUUACAGCUUUGGCGUUGUGCUGCUGGAACUGAUCACGGGGAAAACAGCCAUCUACCACGACGGCUCCAUGGAAGCCAAGAACCUCGCGUCGUCCUUCCUGCUCGCAAUGAAGGAUGGGAGCCUUGAUGGCAUCCUGGAUGCAAGCAUAGUUGGUGUCGGCUUGGAGAUGCUGCUGGGAGAAAUCGCCGAACUGACGAGGAUGUGCUUGAGCACCAUGGGGGAAGAGAGACCUUCCAUGACCCAGGUGGCUGACAAGCUAAAGGCUCUGCGAAGCGCAUGGAGGGAGAAACUGGUGCUUGACCAUGGCAAAGCAGAGUGUCUGGUCAAGUUCUCCUCACCUGCAGUGCUUCUUGAUCCUCCAUCAUCGAGCACGUUCUCAACAGGGCCCCACAUGUCUGGAAUAGGUAUAGAGACACCCAGGUGA